ACCAGAUCUAUCAAGUGUGCUAGCAUCUUCUGUUUAUCGCCAUGUUCUGACUUUUCACCAAAUCUCCUCCAUUUCUUGGAGCCUCACGAUCCGAGACCCGGCAUAUCAACCCUUCCCUCCUCAAUUCAUGUCUUCUUCUCUAAAUUCGCUACUGGUCUCCCAUCCCCCUACUCUGGCGACCUGCUAGUGGAGUUCUGAAGCCACUUUGCCAUCCAAUCGUAACACUCCCAAUUUCCUCAUUCCCUCCUGACGAUCUCAACUAUGCCGGUGAUGUUAACAAUAUAAGUAGGCCAAAAGGUUAAUAUAGUGGGUUUUGCCAUUAGUUCUGCCCAUAAAUUUGUAGGCCAGCAAAUUUCAUGUAAAAAAUGCUCAAUCUUGGCGUCAGUCCCUACAUCAUUAUUGGUGUUUCUGGGGCACUUGACCCAGUUUUUUUUGGGCGUUGGGUAUGCUAAUUUUAGCAAGUUUCUCUUAUUAGGAGAAAUCAUUACACAACCCUUUAAACUUGUCCUUGUUGGAUAAAUUUAGUCAAAUUUCCUCUCGGUAGACUCAAGAGGUAUGCUUCUCCACUUCCUCUUUUUCAAAAGAGAAAUAUUUCACCAAAAUUCUUCUUUGAAAGAGGUGACCUCUUUCAUUAUUCAGUCUAAAUUAUUUGUUUCUUAACGGCUUGUUAUCUUAGGUGAAGGUCCACUUGAGGUCAGUAGAUGCAAUGAUUCUCAUUGAGGUGAGAAUCGAAGUUGUAGAUGGUGUUGUGACAUCACAGGUUAUAGUGAUCUGUUAUUUGAAAAACUUGAAGUGUGGUUUAAGUAUUUUAUAGAUUUGAUCGCCGGUGACAACUUUAAAAUCUUGCAUGGAAUUUUAUCAAAUUUCCAUAAGUUUGUGUCUAUAUCCUUGUUUAUAGUUGAUUUAUUUGUCUGGGAUUUAGUCUUUAUGCUUACACAUCGUGUUUUGUACGAUUGUUUACCAUUCUUGUAGUUGUUUAAAUCUAUUAUUGAAGAUUUUGUGUACAAAAAGGUUACUGAAUAACCAUAAAAUGAGUAAAAUUAAAGUAAUAAGUUAGUGGGAUAGACCAAGAUACUGAUAGAUGAGUUGGAUCAAUGUAGAUUUCGACGGAAAUCUGAAUAGUAAAUUUGUUUUACUAAUCCAUACAUCAAUAAAUAAUCGUGAUUUCUAUUUUAUCAUGUAACAAAUAGUUAACAGUUUAGUUUAAUGUUAAAUUGGUAGAACUAUCAAUAUUUCAUUAGCAAAAUUAAUUUUCUUAAGUAUAUUUUUGAUGUAAAACGAAAAAUACAAUAAAUUUGAAAAUAAAUUAUACUGGAUAAUCAUUUGAUUUUCAUGAUGCUUUUAGCUUUCAUGUAAUUGUAAUAGUAGGUCUUUCAAAAGUUCUGUUUGUUUUUUUGUUGAACAUCUAGUGUGUGAGAAAAAAUUUAUGUUCCUAAAUGUAUUCAAAAUCUUAACUCAAAAAAUGUGGAAACGAUGUACUCUCACAUGGUUUUUGUUUUGGUCAACGUGAAUAUGUAUUAAAAUCAGAAUGUAGACAUAUGAAGGCCUCGCAUGACAUUCAACUACAAGGCAAUAAAUUCUUGAACAACAUAUAUUUACAUAGGUCAUAUACCAAACACUUUGACCGCAAAGAACACCAACAACUAAAAACCAAGACCAAGACCAAGAGAAUGGUCAUAUACCAAAAACCCUAAUCGUAAAGACCACCAACGACUAAAGAUCAAAACCAAGAAAAUGGUCAUAUACCAAAACCCAUACUGAAAACAACCAAAUCCAACAACAGAAUCACAAAGAUUACAUAUAAUCAAAAAUCACAAUCGUUAACUAGAAAGAGGCCAUAUAUUUCUCACCGACAAACGGUUCGUGCAGCCAAACUAGGUGACCAGCUGCAACAUAAGAUUGCAUGAAAGCCUCACAUCUCACACUUUGUGCAAUGCGAAAAACACCUAUGUUUGCCAAAGGUCUCUCCACCACAAACUUCAUCUCCUGCUUCUGAGGCAAAAGAUGUCUUAAAGUUUUGUUCUUCCACCAAUGGCGUUUGCUGGGUCGGUUUAUUGCUUCCACCAGAGCUACAUCUAAAAAAUAUAAAACCACCUUACUCAUUCUAUGCGCUUGCUUACUUUCAACAUCCCAAUGAAGAACUUUUAGUUUAGACAUGUCCUCAUUCCAAACCAGAGAGAAAGGUACUCUACUAUGUAUUAGAAAAAAACCUAUCAUUUCUUAAAAUCUUAGCCACACCCACUUUGUUUUUCUUCUUCAUCCCAAUGAAACUGAUUUUGCAUUUUACCCAUUCUUUGGGAGGGAAAUUCUAACCUCUCUUCCUUUCUUUUUCUACCUUCCUAUGUUCUUCCUACAUAUUCAACUCACAAGUUUGAGCAAAAAAAUCAUUAUCUGCUUCCUCUGAGUUUUUUUUAGACUGUGAGCGGACUCAAAACAGACACACUUUCAAAAAUAAAUGUGUUCUUAUCUUUCCAAAUAUUCCAAAGAAUCCAAAGCGCUAUUUGUUUUUGAGCCAAGCAAUAUCUUGAUAGUUUUCAUUUCUCAACAUUGCAUUGAUAUUAGAGAAAAUAGAAAACUCAACAAAACCAUUUACUUGUAGAGGAAUUUAAAAUGAGCCCACACUUGUCUUGCAAAAUGACACUUGAAGAGUACAUAGUUUAUUGUUUAUAUAUCUGCACCACAAAUUGGGCAUAUCUCCUCUGAUUUCAUACCUUAGUUUUUUGAAGAAAUCUUCCACGGGCAAUGCAUACAAACCUUCUAAUCUUCAGCUCUGUUUUUAGCUUCCACACCUGUUCUUUUAAUUAGUUAAGUGAUGGUAAGGCUUCAGCUUUUGUUUGUAUAUCUCAUUUGUCUCUUUGAGUUGCUAGCAUAUAAAUUUGUUGGAUUUUCAUGAUCUAAGCAACAUCACCUGGUAAAACAAAUCAACUCCUUAAUCUUCUCCAUGAUCAUGUUUCCACGUCAAUAAUAUCAGUCACCAUCAAAUUGACAUCAAAGUUAUAGUUCUUCCUCCAAGGAGGUCUUCUAACCCUUUCAUCGUCUUCCAUCUAAAGAUCAAUCCAUAGUUUCAAAGAUGAAUUAUUCCCAAUUCCAGGUUGAAUCCCCUCCUUCAUUAACUCUCUUCCAUUCAAAACACUCCUACAUGCAAAUGCUGGUAUUUCACCUAUUAUAGCUUGCAAGAAAUCACCUUCAGGAAAAUAGCAACUCUUCACAAGUCUAACAAAGAGAGAGUCAGGAUGGUAAGGAUUCUUCAAGCUUGCUUUGCUAGCACAUGGUUGAAAAGCUCCAAAUCUCUAAACCCCAAGCCUCCAAGAUGUUUAGGUAGACAUAAUAACCCAAUUCAUUUUGGGAGACUGAUAUGAGGAGUUCCACUUAAAUCGGGUAAUUUAUGAAGUUUAAUUUUGGCAUGUGUUUCUCGAAAACUUAAAGCAGAAAAUUACAUAUAUAGGCAUUGCAAGUGCCACUGACUUGAUCAUAAUUUCUUUCCUUUAAGAUAGGACAUUUGCAAACCAACCACAUAUCCUUCAUUAUUUUUUAUGUACUUCAAAAGCUCCACAUAUGACCCACCGAGACAUUCUCGUAUUCGGUAAGUACUUGCUCCUCUUUCAGCAUAGAUACCAAAGAUACCUUUGGUUUUUCUUUUAAUCACUGAGUCAACUUUCUCACCAUAAGUGAUGAAAGAUUUAAGCACAUUAAUGGUUUGACCAGGGAGAUUUCCAUAUUCUUUUAAAAUAUUUCAUAGGUACUUUGAUUUUCACAUAGGAAGAGACUGCCGCCAGCAAAGAGAAAGUUGGAAACCAAGUGCCCUUAGUCACCAAACCUGAUUCAUGUGAUCUUUUCUUCAUAUUCAACUUUAGACAUCAAGUGAAGCAAUCCUUCUGUACAAAUAAUGAAAAAAAAGGGUGAUGUGGGUCACCAUGUCUCAAUCCUUAGUGAGAUACAAUCAUUCCAUGCGGUCGAUCAUUAAUCAAAACUGAAUAAGUGAAUGGAGACUGGAGACACACAGCUCAUUACACUGUCAACCCAUUUGACAUCAAAACUAAUUGUUAGUAUCAUCGAUCUUAAAUACGUCAUAAGAGUAUCAUUAGUGGUGUAAUCUCUCUCUUUAGUAUCUAGUGAAUUUAAUAUCUGUAUUAUUUUGGUAUGUAUUUAAAUUUAAAUAAAAAUAAA